rnacentral:lncRNA from 1 species
GGCCAUUUAAUGCUCUCCAGAGCGCAUGCGGGUAGGGCUGGUGAGUGAUUGGGCCUACUCCCUUAUGGGGCUUGUGCUCAUAUCUGAUCCGGAUCAUCCUGGGUUGCCGGCCCAGGCUCGUGAAGUCGAGCCGCCUCUCGAGUGUAUGAUCUGAUGGGCUUUGGAUCUGUGGCCUUCUUUUGGACCCGACCUUAUUCCUGGGUUAGAAAAGAUCUGGAGGUUAUCAAC